CGGGCCUUGUACACACCGCCCGUCACACCACGGAAGCCGGCAACACCCGAAGUCGGUGUGCUAACCCGACAAGGGAGGCAGCCGCCGAAGGGUAGGGGUUGGUGACUGGGGUG
rnacentral:rRNA from 1 species